UUUAACAAUCUGGGGUGCCAUUUGGCUGAGAAACACCCAUUGAACCUGAUCUGGUUAGUACCAGCGAAGGGAGCAUUGCGCUUUAGUGUG
rfam:Leuconostoc lactis strain WIKIM21 contig00011, whole genome shotgun sequence.